rfam:Orientia tsutsugamushi str. TT76 ut76.contig.2_1, whole genome shotgun sequence.
AAAGACCAGUUAUGGAAGGAGAAGCUAGAUCCGCCAUAUAGCGAGUCUUGUGCUGCUGAAGGUAACGACAGUAGUAAAGCGUAGACAGCGAAAUAUUCGAGCUGAAACCAAAUGGUGAACGUUAUAGCCCUGAAAGUGAGGUGUAGUGGAAGCCGAUAUGUUCUAGCCGAUAGUAGGCAAAAGAAGAUUGGAGGUCAAACUAGUGAAAAUUCAAAAAUUUUCAACUACCGGGGUCGCAGGCGU